rnacentral:lncRNA from 1 species
AUCAUACUAACCAAACAAGCAACUCCGAAGCAAAUGAAGCACACCAACAUCUUCUGCUGAGCUGAUAGCCUUCUUAGAGGGCUCUCGACCUGUCUAUCGGUACCUGCAGGCAUGAAACGCAGCAUCCCUAGGCAAAAGGGACGUCAGUACGAGUAAUGUACCGAGUAUAUAAGCCACAUAAAUAAAUACAUAAGAGACAUGGAAGAAAUAUAGAGUACAUGACUCAACCUGUAAGUCUGAAUAACUUUGUAAAUCAUAAAUUACUUUUAGUGUCAUGCAUAUGCGUAUGAAUGUCAUGUCGUGCAUAGGUAUAUGUUUCAUAACAUCAUCAGCCUUCGAGGGCAUCCCAUAUUGCCAUAUCAGCCACUGUGGGCAAAAUCAUCAUCGUAUACCAACUGAUCAGGUAGUGGUGCAUAUAUAAUGCCAUAACCUUUCCCAUAUCCCAUAUACAUAUAUAUACAUACAUAUAUACGUGUAUAUUGCUGUUUCAAUCAUAUUUCAGCCACUGUAGACAACAUCAUCAUCAUAUACCAGCUGAUCAGGUGGUGGUGCGUAUAUAACGUCGUAACAUUUUCCAAUACAUCAUAUACAUAUAUUUACAUAUAUACGCGUAUGUAAUGCCAUCUGGUCAUGUGUUAAUGCACGUGUAUGAAAUGCAUGCAAAAUACAUAAUAAUCUCAAUAAUCCUUCCGGAUAAAUUUUUCCAACUGUGGAUUGUUUUGAGACCCGCAGGCAGAAGAUAAUAAUAUUUUUCAUGGGGAAUCAAGAAUAUAGAGACCCCUACUAUUUCUAUGAAUAGAGUAAUUUAUGAAAAUUGUGUGUUUGUUCGUGUUUUUCAGUAUCAUAUGGACCAUGCCAAAAGAAAGAAGGGAUAGCCUUAACAUACUUGUUUCUGAAAUUAUUUGAACGGAAUGAAGCUUCUGCUUCUGAAUCCUUGAACAAAAUUGUGGUUCGAAUUUUGACUAAGGAUUUUGGAUAAAAUGUUUCUUGAUUCAACGUUAUUGUUUUUUUAACGUUGCUGCUUUGAUAUUUAGCCAAGAAGGACGUUGUUUC